rnacentral:lncRNA from 1 species
CGUGGUGCAUGUGGUUACCGUCCGUCUGCAGAUAAGGUACGGUCCAGUAAAGCAGACACGAGAAGCACGAGAUGGAUGACCAUCCCAAGGGAGCCUUCUUAAUUAAUCCCUGCCACCACAGUCCAAGCGUCAUGCAAUCCAAUGGAGAUCUGCUCUGAGCCUCUCCAUGACCAUCUGAAGGAAUCUUUGCUCAUUUGUAAUCUUUGCUCAUUUGUAAUGUUGGUAUGUGCCACGGAUUUUUAUAAAGACCUGUUUGGUCCUGCACAUAAGUUAUAGCUGCAAGAUUGAUGAGCAUAUGUG